GAUGAACGCUGGCGGCGUGCUUAACACAUGCAAGUCGAACGAAGCGCUUAAGCUGAUUUCUUCGGAUUGAUUCUUGAGUGACUGAGUGGCGGACGGGUGAGUAACGCGUGGGUAACCUGCCUCAUACAGGGGGAUAACAGUCAGAAAUGGCUGCUAAUACCGCAUAGGCAUACAUGACGCAUGUCGAGUAUGUUAAAUAUCCCACGGGAUAGCACAGGGAUGGGCUUAUGACGCAUUAGCUAGCUGGUGAGGUAGAGGCUCACCAGGGCGACGAUGCGUAGCCGGCCUGAGAGGGUGGACGGCCACACUGGGACUGAGACACGGCCCAG
rnacentral:rRNA from 1 species